CAAAAACCCUAACCCUGACGAAACCUGACUCCUCUUUCUCCUCUAUUCGUUGCCUUCUCGCCGGAGCCCAAGCUAGCCAGAGUUCCUUUUCUGUUCGUCGAAUCUGUGUUUCCCCCCCGUGUUUUCUCCAUCCUCUGUUCGUGUUUUGCGCUGCUUUGCUGCUCGAACGCUGUCGCGGUGGUGCUGCUGGUGGUUGCGUGGUGAUGUUGUUAUUCCCGUUCGCUGCUGCAUGCGUCGCACCACUAGUGCGCCGCCUCACUGAACCUGCAUUGUUAAUCUGUCACCUCGCCCCCGCCUUGUGUAUCUUCCCUGCUCCAGAUGAGUAGAGGUUUGGUCUUCAGCUCGAGAUUGGAAGUGAAGCGAGAUUAUAAUGUCGUCGUAGAUUAUGGAUUGAGCUUGUAUCGAGUUAGUUAAUUUGAGAAUAGUUAUUUAUGUUUCGUUGUAUAUCAUUUUGGGAAUUUAGUCGAGUUAUAGGUGUAUUUAAGGAUAUUUUUCCGCUGCAAUUUUAUUAAUUAAGAUUUGGAUUCUAGUUUAUGGUUGUCCAGUGUGUGUUUUAUUAGCAGCUCGGAAGAGCGGGCUGUUACAAGAUGCCUGGUUGGCUACCUAGCGAUGGUGAAAGAUUCUUGGGAUAGUUUGAAAUCGAUUUGGGAUUAUUAGUAGUUAAAAAUUGAUGAUCGGAGAUUAGGAAUGUUGAAGCUUGAGUGUAUAAGUGUUUGCGCUUUUGCGUGUGCUAUAUGAUUUUGUUUAUGUAAAUGUGUAGUGUCUUAUGUUGUCUGUGAUGGUGUGUAUUUUGUAUGAUUUGAUUAAGUAAACGAAUUUCAGACGAGAUCUCUACAAAUGAGAUGUCUGGAAUUCUAUGCUGAAAAUUUUGCCCCUUUUAUUUUCUUUGCUCCUCGAUUCUAAUAUUGAGUUGAAGUGGAGAUACAUAAGCUGAUGGUAGAAUUGAGGUUUGAUGCCUGAUAUCUUAUGAGUUUGAGAUUUGGUUUUAUUUAAAUCAUUAUUUUCAAGUUUCUAGGACGAAACUUUAAAUAAGGGUGGUAGUAUGUAGUAGCCCUGUUUUUAAGAGCGAUUAUUUAAACAUUAAACAUAAUUAUUACGUUAAUUACGUUUCAAAAAUUCUUAUAUUAUUUGAGUUGUGGAAUGUGAUUUUUAUAUAUCGUCUUGUAAUGUAUUUAUUUAUUUAAUUAUAUGAGAUCAUUUAAUUAUUAUUAUUUUAUAUUAUGGAUUUUGUGCAAUUAGUUGAACGGUGUUUCACAAAUUAUAAAAUCAAAGUCGGUUCCCUUGUCUAUCCAUCUGAUCAUUUGGUAUUAUUGUCAGUCAAUGAAACCUCAUCACAUGCCUCUAGUCUGUCAUGGGUUCUGAAAUUUUAAAACCCAAAACCCUAAAGAAAACCCCAAACCCGUGAAAACCCAUCCUCUUUCCCCUGUUCUUCUCUCUUCGUUGAGACCUCGCCACACCUCCCCUUCAAUUCGCCGGCGAUUUGCCGAGCUUGCUAGAGUUUCCCCUACCCCCUUGAUGAUCGUUGGAGCCUCGUCGCCUCCCUGCUACAACUCUCUGUUUUCUCUCUUUAUCUUCUCCGUUCUCUAUAGUGCGAGACAGUUGUGGUGUUGCGGUGUUGUUGCUGUUGCCACCGCGCGUGCGCUGCAAGCUGUCGUGUCUCGACGCCACUAAUAUCUUUCCUCUGUUGCUUGUCGGUGCUCUGUCGUUGUGCCCUGAAGCUUCAAAGCUUCGUCCCCUAUUCUUCGUUGUUCGCUUUGUUGCUCCUGAUGUGGUCACCGUUGUUGUGCAUCAGGUGGUUAUCUCGCUUUCCCUCUCCUCUUGUACUGUUAUUCUUGUUUUAUUUAUAAUUGUUCGUUGUUGUUUUUGUUAUUUUGUCGUUGUAGUUGUGGUAGUUGCUAAGGAGUUGUUGUUGUAGUUGUGGUGGUUGUUGUGGAGUUGUGUGGUGGUCGUGGUGGAGUGUUGUGAUGUUAUUAUUGUUGUUGUUGCUCUGUUGUUUGUUGUUGUCAUUGCUGCGCUGUCGUUAUUGUUGUUGUUGUAUUGAAUUUUUAGAGUAGUUGUUAAUAGUUAUUGUUCUAUUGUUGCUGUUAUGAUUGUUGGUGUGGUUGAUGUUGUUGUUGUGGGUGUGGUUGUGCGUUGUUGAUGCUGUGAUGGUUGUUGUUGUGUCGUUUUGAUGGUGGUUUAUUAUUAAUGGGUUAUCGAAGUGUUGUAGUGUGUUGUGUUGCUGUUAGUAAUACUAACUAUUGUUAUUUUGAAAAGGAGGAAUGUUUUAUAAUUUCUUAUUUGUGUGAUUAAGUUUACUAGUUAAGUUAGCUUGACUUUGUUUAAGGAUAUAGAGUUAUAGUUACGAAGUGAGAAUUAAGAGAAUAUUAAGGUAGAUAAUUUUCGUAUUGGAACUGGUUAUGAUUUUGCUUCCUGGUAUAGAAUUAGGUAGUUCUUAUUUGGGAGAGAGUUUAAAUUAGUUCUUAUUUAGUAAGAAUCCUAUUCAUUAUUGUUAUUAUUGUGAGGUUAUUAUUGGAGGAUGAUUUUGGAGUGAAGUAUCAUUCGGGAUUAUGAAGUUGAUUGGAUUGUUGGAAUCAGGAUAGCAUUUCAGUUACGUAACUUUUAUGUUCAGUAAAAUUAUUUACUUAUGCCCAUGUGUGCGUGGAUUUUUUUAUUUUGUUUUGGAUAUAAUAUAAGUUCGUACUAUGGCCAUAGUUAUGAAUGUGAUGUUAUGAGUUGAUUCUGGAAAUAUUAUUCGAUGAAUACGAAUAUGCAAAUGUUUUGCUGGCUUAGUUUAUGAACUAAAAAUAGAAAGUGGGCAAGGUAUAGGUGGAGGAUGGUUAUUCUUUUGACAUGAUACGGUCGGCUACGCUCCAUAACAAACCUUGGGGGUAGUAUUGCUGGGCUCCAUAACAAACCUUGGAGGCAGUGUUUGUCCUUUAUCCAAAGCCCGGACUUGCCACUGAUUUGUUUAAGACAGUAAGCUAUGCCAGCAUUGUAUCGAAAAGAAGUGAUUUGAAAUAAAAUGUUUUUAAUGGGCUGAAGUAAAGGUUACGAGUUUUCCACUCAUUUUGGAAUUUUAUUUGUUUUGUAUUUCUUCUUGUAAAGGUUACGAGUUCCGUGAAUUUGCAGGUUUGGUGUUGUGAGCUCGGGAUUGGAAGUGAAGCAAGAUCAUGAUGUUGUCAUAGAUUAAGGAUAUGAAUUUGUAUCUAGUUAGUUGAUUGGAGAAUACUUAUUAAUAUUUUUGUUGUAUAUCAUUGUGGGAAUUUAGUUCAAUUAUUUGUGUAUUCACUAGAGGAAAAAAAGGAAGGGCUGCGCUGGAAGGGCUGUGUUUCCUUUAAAACGCAGCCCUUCUUUCAUGAAGGGCUUCAGUUUUAAAGAAAACUGCAGUCCUUUUCCAGUAAGGCUACAGUAAACUAGAAAACGCAACCCUUUUUACUUUAAGAAGGGUUGCGUUUUCUAGUAACUGCAGUCCUUUUUAGUGAAGGGCUGCGGUUUACUAGAAAACGCAUCCCUUUUUACUGUAAGAAGGGCUGCGGUUUUUGGGCCUACCGCAGCCUUGAAAGUGAAGGGCUGCGCUUUUCUAAAAACCGCAGCCCUUCUUUUACGAAGGGCUGCAUUUUUUGGAUAAGCGCAACCCUUCAUUAUCAUUUUUUUUAUUCUAAUGAGUUGCGCGCAUGUACGGUAUCCACGCACAUUUCUAUUUCCCUCCCUUAGUCAAAUUUUCGAGCGAGAAAUCCCCACCAGCACCUUCAUUGCGCGAACCACCAGUGCGCCACCACCACGCAGCUGCACCAUCUUGCGCACCACCUUCUUCUCUCUCCUCCACUACUGCAUUUAUUGUGGAGCAUCACUUCUCCUACUCUCUUUCGCAGGACAUGGCGGAGGUGCAUAUAGAUACGAGUGCGGAAUACACUAUCGAGGUUGAGUCUUUCGAUGUGAGAAAGGAACGGGGUAAAUUGGUUCGACCUUGCCGUGAAGAAAUAAAUGCACAAAUUCCUAGGAAGUCAUUGGCGACGAAAAAGAGAAAAGGAAGGGGACCUACAAAGUCACUAGGGAAACACACCCUAAUGACUUUGGAGUGCGAUCAUUUGGGGCAACCUUGUGGAAAAUGGCGUCCAAAGGAUGCCAUGCAAGUUGGCAUUUGCAUGCAUAAACUCUCCAUUCUCCACUCAUGGAAAGAGGUACCCGAGGGGUUGAAGAAGUGUAUAUGCACUAGUGAAAAAAUGAAGAAGGGCUGCGCUGAAAAAGGCCUGUAGGGCUGCGCUUUUUGACAGCAGCCCUUUCAGUAGCAGCCCUUCACUUUUUAAGUAGGGC